GACGAACGCUGGCGGCGUGCUUAACACAUGCAAGUCGAACGGAAAGGCCCUGCUUUUGUGGGGUGCUCGAGUGGCGAACGGGUGAGUAACACGUGAGUAACCUGCCCUUGACUUUGGGAUAACUUCAGGAAACUGGGGCUAAUACCGGAUAGGAGCUCCUGCUGCAUGGUGGGGGUUGGAAAGUUUCGGCGGUUGGGGAUGGACUCGCGGCUUAUCAGCUUGUUGGUGGGGUAGUGGCUUACCAAGGCUUUGACGGCUAGCCGGCCUGAGAGGGUGACCGGCCACAUUGGGACUGAGAGACGGCGCAGACUCCUACGGGAGGCAGCAGUGGGGAAUAUUGCACAAUGGGCGGAAGCCUGAUGCAGCGACGCCGCGUGCGGGAUGACGGCCUUCGGGUUGUAAACCGCUUUCGCCUGUGACGAAGCGUGAGUGACGGUAAUGGGUAAAGAAGCAACGGCUAACUACGUG
rnacentral:rRNA from 1 species